GCUCCUUUAGCUCAGCGGCAGAGUUCACGCUUUACACCAUCCCUUCUGUAACUUGAAUCUGGGGUCGUAAGGCAACAGAUCGCGUACGGUCACAGGUUCGAUCCCUGUAGGGAGCA